rnacentral:tRNA from 1 species
ACUUAAAUAGCUUAUGUAGAGCACAACACUGAAGAUGUUGAGGAAGUUUAUUAACUUUUAAGUA